rnacentral:lncRNA from 1 species
GGGGUCUGCCUCAGUCGCACAGCUCGGUGGGCUCGUGGCGCAGUCGAACGUUUUCCCAGAAGCUCCCCGGCCCCGUCCAGCCCCUAAACUCGCGACGCUGGGUCUGCUGGGUCCGGCGCGCACAGGCUCGAAGGAGCCGGGUCUACUCGGUUUGGCCCAGCAGCUGCGGGCGGCGGGGAGCAGCCCAGCCCGGCUGGAGCAG